UCUUAUAAGGACUAUAUUGUAAAUUAUCAUUGUUUUGUUAGGCAAGUGAUAUGUUCUUUCAAAAAGCUGAUGGUACUUGGCUGGUGGUUUCAGAACUUGGGUAAAAAAUGGUUGUUUGUAGACAAAUCAAGACUUUACAAAACUUGUCCUACAUAUACGGAACUGCAUCUUUCAAAACUGGCAAGUCUUUCAGGCAUUCGAUAGAAAAUACUACAAAAUAAAGCUACUUGGGCAAAUAAGCAGAUUGUAAAUUGUCUAAGAGGACUUCCUACAUGAUAAAAAAAUAUUGAUUCCAUUACUGCACACUUGGCUUUAUGUUAUUAUGAAGGCCAGAUAACUUUUUAGCUUUCAAGCUGCCUUGGGAGUGUCAUGUGUCAUUCCCACAUUAAGAGGCAGAAGUCUAAAAAUAUCUAAAGUCCCUUAACAGAGCUGCAGUUUCACAAUGAGUCCCUAUGGAAUGUUUACAUAUUGGAGAAGGACUGCAUCAAAGUACACACACUUAUCAAAGAUGGAAAGGAGAAUACUCUGUCCCUCAGCAGGCCAUUGACCUGCCUUGCACUGAGGGGACAUUGUGCACUGAUGCAGACAGUACAAAUUUUAAGGCAGUCUAUAAAUUGACACAUUUUCUUAUAUGGGCAUGGAAAUCUUACCUGCAUGCUGAAAUUUAAAAUGUUUUUUGAAAACCAACAAAGGAGUCUUUGAAGAUAAAUCCUGUUCUGAUACACAUUUAAAAAUACAUCUGUUUUUUUCACCCUUCAAUAUUUAUUUUUAUUUUAAAUCAUUGGGACAUUUCAAAUUUAAGACAACUAUUUUAUUUAAAGACAUAACAUAGGGUGCAUCAGGGAGUAAAACUCCAGCCUUAAGCUGGUUUUAUCUUCCCUGUAUCUUUUCACAAGACAUGAAAUUAAUUGCCUCCAACUGAUACAUAUUUUUGUAUAUAUAUUUGCAGAAUCUACAUAUUAUCACUGGACAUUUUGGUAUUUUGGACUGGAUUAUUUAGCCACACAUUCCAAUCUAUGGAUAAUAUAUUCAUGACAGAAUUAUUCAGAGAUUACAUAACUGGAUCUUUCCCAAAAAGGCUUCUGACUUUUUAAAGUGUGCCUGCUUCAAAAGGACAGGAGCCUUCUUUUGGAUAGAGACAUCAAAUUGGCACUGGUGAGUUCUUCAGCUUCAUGCAUAGUAACUGGCCCAUGUGAACUGAUGAGAUUUCACUACAUAGCAGAAGCAUUUAAUGUUAUAAAAUUAAUAUCUGACAGCAGGUGUAAAAUGAAUGUCCAAUAUGACUGAAGAAACUGUCCUCACAAGAAAUUAAUCACUAUGGAUUGGAACAUACACCAAUGAAAGCUAAGUGAAAAACAAGAACAUUAGCAAGAACAGCAGAAAAUAACCAAAUAAUUGAACUAGUAAUGAUGUUUGUUUGUUAUUGUUAUCAAAUAUUAAUGAUUUUCAUAAAACCAGGAGAAACUGUGGUAAAUCAAAUACUAAUGAAGUAAAACUAUAUUAUAGUUUAAAAAUUAAGAAUGUUGUCUUAAAGAGACCAAAGGAGUGGAGAAAAGGGAGAGAAAGUUAAGUCCUCUGCAUACAAAAAAUGGGUCAAGCCACUGAAUUUUUCUGAGCAAGCACUUGAUCAGGUCUUCCUUCUCUUCUUUAUUCUGCUUCUGUAUAUAUACACUUUUAAACUGCAACUUACCUUAAA